rnacentral:misc_RNA from 1 species
ACACAGAGUUCACGCACAGGCAGCGACCGACGCCUUACUACAGCAUCAUUCAUCAGGUAUGUGUACAGUUCUACUUCAGUAUCUGUUUUUUAAUUUUUUUUGACAAAUGUUAUUUGUAAGCUAUUAAAUCUAGAAAAAAUAAUAAGAUUAUUUAUUUAUUGAUAAUGAAAAUGUUUGAUGUCGGAGUUCUUCGUCUAGGAUAAGACAGAACCCUGGCAAUUUUCUCUGCACUUUUUGGAGACUGGUUAAAGAAAUCUUUAAAAACAACAACCCAAAAUACCUACAAUAGAGUGUUCAUGCAUGAUGUCUACAUCUAUUA